rnacentral:rRNA from 1 species
ACGAACGCUGGCGGCGUGCUUAACACAUGCAAGUCGAACGGUGAAGCGCCUUCCUUUUUGGUGGGUGUGGAUGAGUGGCGAACGGGUGAGUAACACGUGAGUAACCUGCCCCCUUCUUCUGGAUAACCGCAUGAAAGUGUGGCUAAUACGGGAUAUUCUGGGUCUGUCGCAUGAUGGGUCUGGGAAAGAUAUUGUUUCGGUGGGGGAUGGGCUCGCGGCCUAUCAGCUUGUUGGUGGGGUGAUGGCCUACCAAGGCGGUGACGGGUAGCCGGCCUGAGAGGUGGGACGGUCAAACUGGGACGGGGACACGGCCAAGCCUCCAACGGGGGGAAGCGGGGGGGAUAAUGGCCAAAUGGGCGCAAGCUGGUGGCGGCGAGGCCGGGUGAGGGUUGAGGGCCUUCGGGUUGGGACCCUCUUUCGCAAGGAAAGCAGGCCGGCUUGGUUGUUGGUUGGUUGGAGGUAACUGGAUAAGAAGCGCCGGCUAACUACGUG